rnacentral:misc_RNA from 1 species
UCGUAACAAGGUUUCCGUAGGUGAACCUGCGGAAGGAUCAUUGUCGUAACCUGCGAAAGCAAUGCAACUCGCGAACACGUACUUAACCCUCGAGAAUCCAAGGGUGCCUCCUUCGGGAACACCUUUUUUUUCCCGACAACUUCGGGGCGGCUCGGCGUUCGUUGGUCCCGACGGCGUAAAACUCGCUCGGGCUAACAAAUGUUGGGCUAAACCAAUGCAACAAAAAACCGGCGUGAAAUGCGCCAAGGAACAUGAAAGAGAGUGCGCGCUCGUCUUGUGUCAGCAUUGCUGCGCCAUGACGGGCGUUGUCUUCUUGAUGAGUUUAUAAUGACUCUCGGCAACGGAUAUCUCGGCUCUUACAUCGAUGAAGAACGUAGCAAAAUGCGAUACUUGGUGUGAAUUGCAGAAUCCCGUGAACCAUCGAGUCUUUGAACGCAAGUUGCGCCCGAAUCCUUUUGGUCGAGGGCACGUCUGCCUGGGUGUCACGUACACAUGCCUCCUGCAAACCUUUCCCACUCUGUGGAUUUAGGGCCUCGCGGGAGCAGAUAAUGGUAUCCCGUGCCUAUUUCUGUGCGGCUUGCCUAAAAAUAGAGAGCCGGUGAUGAAACGUCACGCCUAGUGGUGGUUAACGAGGCCCGACGGCCAACCAGUUCGCGACGUGACUGAUUAUCACCGGAGAACUCAUACAACACCUUGAAUGUCCUGUAAUGGACGUGCUAUUGUCGCGACCCCAGGUCAGGCGGGACUACCCGCUGAAUUUAAGCAUAUCAAUA